UACGUAGGGUGCAAGCGUUGUCCGGAAUUAUUGGGCGUAAAGAGCUCGUAGGCGGUUUGUCGCGUCUGCUGUGAAAACUCGGGGCUCAACUCCGAGCUUGCAGUCGAUACGGGCAGGCUAGAGUUCGGCAGGGGAGACUGGAAUUCCUGGUGUAGCGGUGAAAUGCGCAGAUAUCAGGAGGAACACCGGUGGCGAAGGCGGGUCUCUGGGCCGUAACUGACGCUGAGGAGCGAAAGCGUGGGGAGCGAACAGG
rnacentral:rRNA from 1 species